CUCAAGUGAUCUGCCCACCUCGGCCUCCCAAAGUGCUGGGAUUAUAGGCAUGAACCACUGUGCCCAGCCAAAAAGAAUCCUUUUGUAAAAUACAGAAACACUGCAAACCUUUGUAAAUCUUUUUUUUUUUUUUUAAUGAGAUGGGGUCUCCCUGUGUUGCCCAGGCUGGUCUUGAGCUCCUGGGCUCAAGAAAUCCUCCCACCUCGGGCUCCCAAAGGGCUGGGAUUACAGGGUGUGAGCCACCGCACCCAGCCAUGAAAACUUUUGUAAAUCUUAACUAUCGUGUUCUGCUUAAAGUGAGGAACACAUAAAGUUUCCUGUGCUUUGUUUUUGUAGCAAGAACUACAUAGUUUGUAUCUUUACUUUACUGAGUCUAUGAGAUUUGAGAAUUUGAUUUCACUUUUUGUAACUUAACAAAACCCACAGAAAAGGACGUUAACUUAGCAGAUAGGACCAAGGACUGAAUGACUGCUGACAAAAAGUGUUUGGUCUGUCCUUCACUUGUUGAGCUACAACCAUGGAUUACACUUCUCAGCUGAGCUCUCAAAGAGCUCUAUGCCCUGUGAAAAGCAGUGGCUGAGUUGGAUGAACACAUAACAUUGUUAAUUUUGCACUGGGAAAACAGAUUCCGACAGGACAACAGACCACAAUGUAAAACCUUGGCAGUUCUUUGGUGUGAUAUAUUUUAAUUAAUAUUUGCAAAUAAUCAGAGUUACUUGGGUACAUAAGCCUGUGUUUCACAACUAUGGCCAGAUGCAGCCUUUUGAUCUGUUUCAGGAAAAGACCUAUUAUUCCACUAACAAUUAUGCUGCCUUAGAAACAUAAUGGGAGUGUAACUGAAGAAAGCAUAUCUCAGAAGGGUUUGAUAUGCAGAACUGGAAGCUAUUGUAAUUCCUCCAUACAUUUCCAUUAGCUAUGCCUUAUGUAAUGUGAGUCAGAUUUUUACAACUUAGAGUUCCCAUCACUGUUUUUUUGCCACAUCACCGGUUGGUUAUUAGUCGUAAAUGAACACACAUCACUAUAUGCUAUGUUGAGGGGAGGCAAGUCUGAUCUCCAAAUAAUUGAUAAAGCUUAAUAUCUCUGUAGCCAAAAUACAAUUUGCAAACCCUAACUCCAGAUAUGUUGUGUGAAUCUUGACAACCAGGGCUUGAGAUUUGUUUUACUGAUUGCCAAUCAGGUAUAUUAUUUGUGAUGUUCGUGGGAGCAUGCACAUUAGAAGACAGUGUUGUGGGGGUUCCUCAGUAUUGAAUUACAUGUGCACACUCAGGCCCGCCAGUCAUUGAAUUCUCACUUGUAAAGGGUUUAACCUGCUGUUCCAAUCAUUGAGGACCAAUUUGAUUUUUUGAUAAGAUUGGAAAACAUUUAUGGAGACUUUCCCAGUUAAAUCUAUGACAGUGUCCACUUAAAUAGUGCAAUUUAGUGUAUUCUCAGAUAACUGCAACACAAAAUUGAAAUAUGCCAGUAUGUCAUCUUUCUACCUGGAAGAUACUGUAUAUUUGGAAAGUUUAUGCUUCUCUCAAUAAAUACAUGUUAUUAAAUAAGCCAUAUCACAGUUUAAGAAAUUGUAUAUACUUUAUCAUAUGCCCUUUCAGAAACCAGGUAUUUUGCAUAUGAUUGAUUUUAGAAAGAUUUUGAAGCUGGGGUUUGUCCAUGUUAAUUAAGAUCAAAGUAUAUAUAUAUAUAUGUAUGUACUGUAUUUGCAACUUUCAAAUUGUAAUUUCCUAUACACUUAUUAAAGUGUUGUUUUGCCAUGUGGUUUAUUAAAUAAAAAUGUACAGUCCCUUAAAUAUCUGCUCUUUUUAUUAAGUAAUAUUAGUAGGCCUAAAAACAUUGUUCUUAAAAACAAAAGAAAAUGUUUUAUAACCUAUCUAGUUUUAUAAUGUCAUUUUAUAAUGCCCUCUUAUAUGUUUAAGAAAUAAAACUGAAAAAA